UAAUAAUAAUAAUCAUCACAACAUCGACGUUAUUUUCUUAUGAAGAAUAAUAUACAUAUAGUUUUGGAAACAGGCAACGAAAUAAAAAAAAGGCUCUUUAACCAAUUUGUUUCAAUUUGAUUUCCGUAAAAAAAAAUCCAUAUGAAUGUCAUUGUCAUUUGGUUGUUGGUCGUUGGUCGUCGGAUAUCAUCAUCAUCAUCAUCAUCAUCAUUUAUAUUUCACCAAUAAACGAGAAUUCAACAACAACAACAACAACAACAUGAAAAAAAUGAAAGAAUCAAAAAGUGUGAGAAUCAAAAAAGAGAUAUAUUUCAUCUUUGCGUGACACGUAUUUUAUACGAAAUUUUUUUUUCUCUAAAAUGAUAAUAAAAAACGAUUAAUGCAAACUA